CGCGUAGGUGGUAGUGUAAGUCUGAGGUGGAAUCCCAGGGCUUAACCCUGGAACUGCCUUGGAAACUGCAUUACUUGAGUCAGUGAGGGGAGGGUAGAAUUCCUGGUGUAGCGGUGAAAUGCGUAGAUAUCAGGAGGAAGGCCUGUGGCGAAGGCGGCCCUCUGGUGCUGGACUGACACUGAGGCGCGAAAGCGUGGGGAGCAAACAGGAUUAGAUACCCUGGUAGUCCACGCCCUAAACGGUGGGCACUAGGUGUAGGGCUCGUAAGGGUUCUGUGCCGAAGGGAAACCAUUAAGUGCCCCGCCUGGGGAGUACGGCCGCAAGGUUGAA
rnacentral:rRNA from 1 species